rnacentral:lncRNA from 1 species
UUGUUGCUAAUGAAUUAACGCAUGUACAACACCUAAUUUACCUUGAAUCAACCUAAGGAAUUAGGGAAUUAUAGUAUAAAUUAAUGAGCUAUAUACUAAUGAAUUGAGUGUAGUGGUUAUGGUAAUUCACAGUGAGACAAUAAUAUGAUUGAAACUCAACAGGUACAUAGUUCAUCAAUAGGUAAAAAUAAGGGGAUUUGAUAAAUAGUCAUAAUCGCCUUUC